UACAGAGGUGGCAAGCGUUGUGCGGAAUUACUGGGCGUAAAGGGCGCGUAGGCGGCCUUCUAAGUCAGACGUGAAAUCCCCCGGCUUAACCUGGGAACUGCGUCUGAUACUGGGAGGCUUGAGUAUGGGAGAGGGAUGUAGAAUUCCAGGUGUAGCGGUGAAAUGCGUAGAUAUCUGGAGGAAUACCGGUGGCGAAGGCGGCAUCCUGGACCAUAACUGACGCUGAGGCGCGAAAGCUAGGGGAGCAAACGGG
rnacentral:rRNA from 1 species